UUCGUCCUACGGGGGGCAGCAGUGAGGAAUAUUGGUCAAUGGGCGGGAGCCUGAACCAGCCAAGUCGCGUGAGGGAAGACGGUCCUAUGGAUUGUAAACCUCUUUAGGCGGGGAGCAAUGCCGGGCACGCGUGUCCGGAGGGAGAGUACCCGCAGAAUAAGCAUCGGCUAACUCCGUGCCAGCAGCCGCGGUAAUACGGAGGGUGCAAGCGUUAUCCGGAUUUAUUGGGUUUAACGGGUGCGUAGGCGGAUUUUUAAGUCAGCGGUAAAAUUUCCGGGCUCAACCCGGGCCGGCCGUUGAAACUU
rnacentral:rRNA from 1 species